GUGAGGAAUAUUGCGCAAUGGAGGCAACUCUGACGCAGCCAUGCCGCGUGCAGGAAGAAGGCGCUACGCGUUGUAAACUGCUUUUAACCGGGAAGAAACCCCAGGACGUGUCCUGGGUUGACGGUACCGGAGGAAUAAGCACCGGCUAACUUCGUGCCAGCAGCCGCGGUAAUACGAAGGGUGCAAGCGUUAUCCGGAUUCAUUGGGUUUAAAGGGUGCGUAGGCGGAGCGUUAAGUCAGUGGUGAAAUCCUGCAGCUUAACUGUAGACUUGCCAUUGAUACUGGCGCUCUUGAGUGCGCUUGAAGUGGGCGGAAUGUGCCGUGUAGCGGUGAAAUGCUUAGAUAUGGCACAGAACACCAAUUGCGAAGGCAGCUCACUAAGGCGAUACUGACGCUGAGGUACGAAAGCGUGGGGAUCGAACAGGAUUAGAAACCCUUGUAGUCC
rnacentral:rRNA from 1 species